UGAAGCAAAUGCACUGAAGAGGUGCAGAAAGAUGAGAAUAUAAACAUGGACAAACACGUUUAUAGGCUCCAGAAAAAAAUAGUGUAGCGUUUCCUUAAAUCACUUUUGCCGCGUUGCGUGUUCAGAGCAAAUUCGAAUGGAAAAUUGUUCUCGUUUGCUAGCUCACGUAUCAAAGAGAAGAGUUCUCUCACCUUCGAUAGCUCAGUUGGCAGAGCGGCGGACUGUAGGUGCUCAUAGCGGUCAUCCUUAGGUCGCUGGUUCGACUCCGGCUCGAAGGAGGGCUGUCUCCGUGCGAGUUGGCUUCUUUUUUUUUCGAAAAU
ensembl:lncRNA